CUGGCUCAGAUUGAACGCUGGCGGCAGGCUUAACACAUGCAAGUCGAGCGGAAACGAUGGUAGCUUGCUACCAGGCGUCGAGCGGCGGACGGGUGAGUAAUACUUAGGAAUCUACCUAGUAGUGGGGGAUAGCACGGGGAAACUCGUAUUAAUACCGCAUACGACCUACGGGAGAAAGGGGGCAGUUUACUGCUCUCGCUAUUAGAUGAGCCUAAGUCGGAUUAGCUAGAUGGUGGGGUAAAGGCCUACCAUGGCGACGAUCUGUAGCUGGUCUGAGAGGAUGAUCAGCCACACCGGGACUGAGACACGGCCCGGACUCCUACGGGAGGCAGCAGUGGGGAAUAUUGGACAAUGGGGGAAACCCUGAUCCAGCCAUGCCGCGUGUGUGAAGAAGGCCUUUUGGUUGUAAAGCACUUUAAGCAGUGAAGAAGACUCCACGGUUAAUACCCGUGGACGAUGACAUUAGCUGCAGAAUAAGCACCGGCUAACUCUGUGCCAGCAGCCGCGGUAAUACAGAGGGUGCAAGCGUUAAUCGGAAUUACUGGGCGUAAAGCGAGCGUAGGUGGCUUGAUAAGUCAGAUGUGAAAUCCCCGGGCUUAACCUGGGAACUGCAUCUGAAACUGUUAGGCUAGAGUAGGUGAGAGGAAGGUAGAAUUCCAGGUGUAGCGGUGAAAUGCGUAGAGAUCUGGAGGAAUACCGAUGGCGAAGGCAGCCUUCUGGCAUCAUACUGACACUGAGGCUCGAAAGCGUGGGUAGCAAACAGGAUUAGAUACCCUGGUAGUCCACGCCGUAAACGAUGUCUACUAGUCGUUGGGUCCCUUGAGGACUUAGUGACGCAGCUAACGCAAUAAGUAGACCGCCUGGGGAGUACGGCCGCAAGGUUAAAACUCAAAUGAAUUGACGGGGGCCCGCACAAGCGGUGGAGCAUGUGGUUUAAUUCGAUGCAACGCGAAGAACCUUACCUGGUCUUGACAUAUCUAGAAUCCUGCAGAGAUGCGGGAGUGCCUUCGGGAAUUAGAAUACAGGUGCUGCAUGGCUGUCGUCAGCUCGUGUCGUGAGAUGUUGGGUUAAGUCCCGCAACGAGCGCAACCCUUGUCCUUAGUUACCAGCGGGUUAAGCCGGGAACUCUAAGGAUACUGCCAGUGACAAACUGGAGGAAGGCGGGGACGACGUCAAGUCAUCAUGGCCCUUACGACCAGGGCUACACACGUGCUACAAUGGUAGGUACAGAGGGCAGCUACACAGCGAUGUGAUGCGAAUCUCAAAAAGCCUAUCGUAGUCCAGAUUGGAGUCUGCAACUCGACUCCAUGAAGUAGGAAUCGCUAGUAAUCGCGGAUCAGAAUGCCGCGGUGAAUACGUUCCCGGGCCUUGUACACACCGCCCGUCACACCAUGGGAGUUGAUUGCACCAGAAGUGGAUAGCCUAACCUUCGGGAUGGCGUUCACCACGGUGUGGUUGAUGA
rnacentral:rRNA from 1 species